rnacentral:rRNA from 1 species
GACGAACGCUGGCGGCGUGCUUAACACAUGCAAGUCGAACGAUGAAGCCGGAGCUUGCUCUGGUGAAUUAGUGGCGAACGGGUGAGUAACACGUGAGUAACCUGCCCUUGACUCUGGGAUAACUGCGGGAAACUGUAGCUAAUACCGGAUACGACCCUCGGAGGCAUCUCAUGGGGGUGGAAAGAAGUUCGGGCAAGGAGGGACUCGCGGCCUAUCAGCUAGUUGGUGAGGUAAAGGCUCACCAAGGCGACGGCGGGUAGCCGGCCUGAGAGGGUGACCGGCCACACUGGGACUGAGACACGGCCCAGACUCCUACGGGAGGCAGCAGUGGGGAAUAUUGCACAAUGGGCGCAAGCCUGAUGCAGCAACGCCGCGUGAGGGAUGACGGCCUUCGGGUUGUAAACCUCUUUUAGCAGGGAAGAAGCGAAAGUGACGGUACCUGCAGAAAAAGCACCGGCUAACUACGUGCCAGCCGCCGCGGUAA